rnacentral:rRNA from 1 species
GAUGAACGCUAGCUACAGGCUUAACACAUGCAAGUCGAGGGGAAACGAUGAGAGAGCUUGCUCUCUUAGGCGUCGACCGGCGCACGGGUGAGUAACGCGUAUCCAACCUACCCAUUACAGGGGGAUAACCUUGCGAAAGUAAGACUAAUACCCCAUGGCAUUUUAUGGUGGCAUCAUUAUAGGAUUAAAGAUUUAUUGGUAAUGGAUGGGGAUGCAUCUGAUUAGCUUGUUGGCGGGGUAACGGCCCACCAAGGCAACGAUCAGUAGGGGUUCUGAGAGGAAGGUCCCCCACAUUGGAACUGAGACACGGUCCAAACUCCUACGGGAGGCAGCAGUGAGGAAUAUUGGUCAAUGGGCGAGAGCUUGAACCAGCCAAGUAGCGUGCAGGAUGACGGCCCUAUGGGUUGUAAACUGCUUUUAUAGGGGAAUAAAGUGAGCUACGUGUAGUUUAUUGCAUGUACCCUAUGAAUAAGGACCGGCUAAUUCCGUG